GCCUGUUCUGAAUGCUCUCCUGACAGUCUCUGGGAAAGGAUGGGCCUUCUUGGUUAGGUGGAGGAUGCUGGUGGACCAUCCAGCAGGUCCCUACUCUAAUCUCUGCCAUUUAUAACCAUCAGGGAAAAGCUGAGCUACAAGGAAGGAUGCUGUUCUCGCGGAACCACUGGCAUUUGAGCGUCUGAAGGAGCUGCCAGCCCUGAAGACCUGGCCACAACUUGAAUGUGUCUUUUCCAAACCAUGAACUGCUACUUUUUCUUUUCUAAAUCAAUGUGUCAUGUUUUUGCUUAAAAGAAGAGAAGGAAAUGGGGAAAGGAAGGAAAGACUGUAACGGCACAGACAUGGGAGAUCCAAGAUGGCCUGCACCGUCACUGACCUCAUUGCCACCGGGUGUGUGUGUGUGAGUGUGUGUGUGUGCAUAUGUGUGUGUGCAUGCAUGUGUGUGUGCGUGUGUGCGUGCGCAUGUGUGUGUGUGUGUGUGUGUCUGCUGCUGCACAGGCCAUACUUUGAACAACAAUGAAUAAAUCUGGCUACUCCAUCUGGCACGUUCCCUUUGGAGCCACCCAGUGUCAAAGCUAAUCUGGACACGCCUUCCAAGGAAUAAAUAGUCAUGACAGGAUGGAAAAGCACACACUGAGUGCUUGACCCAUACCAGACACUACGCUGAACAUAGCUGCGCUACACUGACUCGUUUAUACUUCGUAGUACCCGCUGGGGUGGUGGCUCAGUGGCUGCUUGCUCUUCAAAGUCACGGCGUGGUGGCAACUGUUGGCUCGAUGUGUGGAAGGGGCUAGUACUACCUUUCAUCUUAAACAGACGGGAGAUGCUGGCUUCUGGAGAACCCUACUGUGUGAGGGGCUAGGCAUGUAGAGACAGAGACAGCAAAGAAGGGACAGGGUGCUGUCUUCAGUGGUGGCAGCAUAUUAGCUAGAGAGACACUGUCUCCCCACCACAGCACCUGCUCGCUUAUCUCUGGCAGCAGCUCAGCAUGCACAGGGAGCGAAGAACUCGAUGAUGGAUUACAGCACCCUGACCCCCAUAUGGUAGCGGGGAGAUGCUCCCAGCCCACACCUGUGCAGGGAAGCACCCGGGAAGGUGCCGUGCCCAGCUUCACGGGGAGACAGCAUUGGUUAUAAGGGGAAAGUCUGGCAGGGGCAGAACGUGUAUGUGCAACUUGGAAUAUCACCGAGGACGUAGCGGCAAGUGUCUUCCCUCCGCGUGAGCCUGGAAAAAUGGCUGCACCAUCAGGACCCAUUUGACACUCAGCAAAGAGCAGGUGGCUCCUGGCUCGCCUUCCCUUUGGGGCUGCUUGAAGGUUUCCCAAAUGGCCUUGUGUGUAUUUCCCACACUUCUGGUGGCAGAAGACAAAUCUGGAUGGAACCCAAAAGGAGAUUUUUAUUCUAACCGCGCUUGUGAUCUUAGGUGCAUUCAAAAAUGAGGCUAGUGACUUGUUCUCUCCCUUCCUCUGCUCCCUUUUACCUGGGUACCAGGGACAAGGCUGUGGGUUGGUGAGGCAAGCACCAGAGUCUGGGGACACUGCCUGCGGCGGGGCACUGCCUGGUAGGGUGGUCAGGGUCAAUCUCCCUAAAAAGGAGAUAAGAGUGUAGAUGAGAGUUUAGGGAGGGGAGUCCUAGAGAGAUGGAGCGGCUGGUACCGAGGGCCACAUGAGGAGCAGCGUUGGCACAUUCAGGGGACCGAGGGAAGGCUGGGGCAGCCGAAAUGUCACAUAGAGGAUGGUUCAAAACCAAGUUUCAUAAAUGCCAGUGGCCAGCAGAAGCGAGACCACACGGGACUGCGAAAGGCGGGAGUUGGAGACCUUGGGGGGAGGGGGUUCACCUAAUACAAAAGGGAGCUUCGGAGUCUUAAGUGGCUGAGUCACACAGUGUCACACUCCCGGCUACGGCUACGCAGAAUUUAAGUGGGAAGAGCCAGGAACCAGAACAACAGCACAAACACAUAUCGAAACAAUGCAAGAAAGGAUGAUGGAAAUAAAGACUUUAGCUAUUAAAAACACAUGCAAGAAAAUCAUGGUGAUUUAUAAUGGCCUCAGACCACCCACCAACUGUAAACCAUAUAAAAAAAUUUGUAUUAAAUUCAUACAACGGACUACUACACAGCCAGGAAGAGGGUAGACUGCCACUAUCCACAAUAACAUGAAGGGACCUUCCUGACAUGAUAUGGAGACUACAGAGUCAUAAUGGUCUAUUCUGUGUGAUUCUGUUUACAGGAAGCUCUGAAUGGACAAAAAUAAUCCUUGGUGAGGGGGGAGGCUAUAGACACCCCAGUAUCCUUGGGGUGACUGUGAUUGAGAGGCAUAAUGAGAGUCUGCCAGGGGCUAAGGGAUGUUCCUGCACAUGAUCCAUGGCGUGGUUGUGUGUGAUCAGACAUAAAAUCUGCACAUCUGUGUCCUUCAGAUCUAUGCUGCUGAUAGCAGGCAUUAGACCUCUAUUUUUAAAAGAAAAAAAACAUUGAAAAUGAAAAAAAUGAAGGUAGAAGGGUCAGGCUGUCAGCCAUGCAUAGAAAGAAAAGGUGCAGGGAGACUCGGAAGGCUAAGCCCAGCCGUCCCUGAGCAGUUUGGAAGAGAAAUUGGUCUCCCGGGGCCGUGGCUGCUCAUUUUCUAACCUGUGAGCAGGACAUUCUCUCAUAGCAUCUGUCACAGCAAAACCAGGGCGGGCCCCGCGGCAAAUGCGGCCCAAGAGAAUUUCCAGAGAGUGAUGGAAAGUUCCCGCAUGAGUCCUGCGUGGCCGACUUCAGUUCCUAGGCAGAGCUAUGGGAACCAGAGUGGCAGGUUCACAAGGGAACCCUCCACAUUGUCCAGGGAGCUGCUGGCAGCACUGGCUGGUUCUCAAUGCCUUUGGAUGUCUGCUUCCCAGCAUGCCUCACUGGAAGGGCUGGGGAGCCACAGGGCUGAGGCUAACCAUCUCUUUCUGGACAGCACAGCGGGUCCGUGCUCUAAGCCACACCCACAAGGCGGCAAGGGCUGGUUACCAGACGCAGUCAUGCAAAGCUCCCGCUCUUCCCUGCACACACACACACACACACACACACACACACACACACACACACACACACACACACACACACAUU